rnacentral:tRNA from 2 species
GUACUAAUGGGAACUGUACCGGAACGCACUCGUAAUGCGUAGGCCGGGGGUUCAAUUCCCUUCACCA